CAGAAUCUACUAGGAUAAAUUUCGUAGAAUUUUCUGGUCUUGGUUUGGUCUUUAGGAAUGAAGAAAAAUCCUGGGGGGAAAAUUCUUGAAAUAUUUUGUAAUAAAGAGGAGUUUGGAGGACAGUAAAGUGUUUCUAAAGGUAAUAUUAGUCUUUAGGAAUGAAGAAAAAUCCUGGGGGGAAAAUUCUUGAAAUAUUUUGUAAUAAAGAGGAGUUUGGAGGACAGUAAAGUGUUUCUAAAGGUAAUAUUGGUAUAG
rnacentral:lncRNA from 1 species